UGGGGUUGUAGCUGGCCUUGCAUGUGCUCGCCCUGUUCAAAUCCACUCUACACCUGUGCACUUACUGUGGGUUCCGGUUAGAAGGGUUUCUUUGAGGCCUUUCGAGCCAGGGCUCACGUUUUAUUAUAAACGCUUCAGUAUCAGAAUGUUUAUUGCGAUAUAACGCAUCUUUAU
rnacentral:misc_RNA from 1 species